GCCGGGCGUGGUGGCGCGCGCCUGUAGUCCCAGCUACUCGGGAGGCUGAGGUGGGAGGAUCGCUUGAGUCCAGGAAUUCUGGGCUGCAGUGCGCUAUGCCGAUCGGGUGUCCGCACUAAGUUCGGCAUCAAUAUGGUGACCUCCCGGGAGCGGGGGACCACCAAGUUGCCUAAGAAGGGGUGAACCGGCCCAGGUCGGAAACGGAGCAGGUCAAAACUCCCGUGCUGAUCAGUAGUGGGAUCGCGCCUGUGAAUAGCCACUGCACUCCAGCUGGGCAAUAUAGUGAGACCCUGUCUCU
rnacentral:SRP_RNA from 1 species